rnacentral:rRNA from 1 species
AUGGGGAAGCUGAGGAGCGAGCCGCGUGAACGAAGAAGGCCGUGAGGUUGUAAAGUUCUUUUCGGGAGGGGGAACAACCGUGGCAGGGAAUGGCCGCGGGAUGACGUGAAUCCCGGAAUAAGCCCCGGCUAACUACGUGCCAGCAGCCGCGGUAACACGUAGGGGGCGAGCGUUGUUCGGAAUCAUUGGGCGUAAAGGGCGUGCAGGCGGUCCUGCAAGUCCGGCGUGAAAGACCCCGGCCCAACCGGGGGGACGCGCUGGAAACUGCGGGGCUUGAGUACAGGAGGGGAUGCCGGAAUUCCAGGUGUAGGGGUGAAAUCUGUAGAUAUCUGGAAGAACACCAAUGGCGAAGGCAGGCAUCUGGCCAUGUACUGACGCUGAGACGCGAAGGUGCGGGGAGCAAACAGGUUUAGAUACCCUGGUAGUCCGCACAGUAAACGAUGUGCACCAGGUGGCGGGGGGUCGACCCUCGGUACCGUAGCUAACGCAUUAAGUGCACCGCCUGGGGAGUAUGCUCGCAAGGGUG